rnacentral:rRNA from 1 species
AAUAUUUCGCAAUGGAGGGAACUCUGACGCAGCGACGCCGCGUGAGCGAUGAAGGUUUUCGGAUAGUCAAGCUCUGUCCUUGGGGUAGAAAGCGGCCAGUUAUGGCCACUUGACGGUACCCACGGAGGAAGCCCCGGCCAACUACGUGCCAGCAGCCGCGGUAAUACGUAGGGGGCAAGCGUUGUCCGGAAUUAUUGGGCGUAAAGGGUGCGUAGGCGGCCUUUUAAGUCAGAUGUGGAAGACCACGGCUUAACCGUGGGGUUGCAUUUGAAACUGGAGGGCUUGAGUAUCGGAGAGGGUAGUGGAAUUCCCAGUGUAGCGGUGGAAUGCGUAGAUAUUGGGAGGAGCACCAGUGGCGAAGGCGACUACCUGGACGAAAACUGACGCUGAGGCACGAAAGCUAAGGGAGCAAACA